GACGAACGCUGGCGGCGUGCCUAACACAUGCAAGUCAAGCGAAUGAAGUUCCUUCGGGAACGGAUUUAGCGGCGGACGGGUGAGUAACACGUGGGCAACCUGCCUCAUAGAGGGGAAUAGCCUUCCGAAAGGGAGAUUAAUACCGCAUAAGAUUGUAGUACCGCAUGGUACAGCAAUUAAAGGAGCAAUCCGCUAUGAGAUGGGCCCGCGGCGCUUUAGCUAGUUGGUGAGGUAACGGCUCACCAAGGCGACGAUGCGUAGCCGACCUGAGAGGGGGAGCGGCCACAGUGGGACUGAGACACGGCCCAGACUCCUACGGGAGGCAGCAGUGGGGAAUAUUGCACAAUGGGGGAAACCCUGAUGCAGCAACGCCGCGUGAGUGAUGACGGCCUUCGGGUUGUAAAGCUCUGUCUUCAGGGACGAUAAUGACGGUACCUGAGGAGGAAGCCACGGCUAACUACGUGCCAGCCGCCGCCGUAAAAC
rnacentral:rRNA from 1 species